GAUGAACGCUGGCGGCGUGCCUAAUACAUGCAAGUCGAGCGAACGGACGAGAAGCUUGCUUCUCUGAUGUUAGCGGCGGACGGGUGAGUAACACGUGGAUAACCUACCUAUAAGACUGGUAUAACUUCGGGAAACCGGAUCUAAUACCGUGUAAUAUUUUGAACCGCAUGGUUCAAAAGUGAAAGACGGUCUUGCUGUCACUUAUAGAUGGAUCCGCGCUGCAUUAGCUAGUUGGUAAGGUAACGGCUUACCAAGGCAACGAUGCAUAGCCGACCUGAGAGGGUGAUCGGCCACACUGGAACUGAGACACGGUCCAGAGUCCUACGGGAGGCAGCAGUAGGGAAUCUUCCGCAAUGGGCGCAAGCCUGACGGAGCAACGCCGCGUGAGUGAUGAAGGUCUUCGGAUCGUAGAACUCUGUUAUUAGGGAAGAACAUAUGUGUAAGUAACUGUGCACAUCUUGACGGUACCUAAUCAGAAAGCCACGGCUAACUACGUG
rnacentral:rRNA from 1 species